GUGCUCACUUUGGCAACACAUAUACUGAAGUUGGAAUGAUAUAGAGAAGAUUAGCAUGGACCCUGCACAAGGAUGACACACAAAUUUAUGAAGAAAUAUGAAAAGAU